GACAUCGAUAUUCGACGUCAUCAACACGAUCAACUUUGGUGUUUAUGACGUCGAUAUUCGACGUCAUAAACACGAUCAACUUUGGUGUUUAUGACGUUGAUAAUCGACGUCAUAAACACGAUCAACUUUGGUAUUUAUUACGUCGACGUUAUAAACACGAUCAACUUUGGUGAUUAUGACGUCGGUAUUCGACGUCAUAAACACGAUCAAAGUUGGUGUUCAUGACGUGGACGUUCUAAACACGAUCAACUUUGUUGUUUAUGACAUCGAUAUUCGACGUC
rnacentral:miRNA from 1 species